GCCUCUGUAGCUCAGUUGGUUAGAGCGCUGCAUCGGAAUCGCAGGGCCGUAGGUGCAAUUCCUACCAGAGGACA
rnacentral:tRNA from 1 species